CUCCGCACGAUGCAUACAACAAUGGUGAGAACCCAUACUAUGACCUACAGGAUGUAGAAGUGUGGUAUGAGUGAGUACCAAACAUGUGGUACUUAGUAGGAAAUUGUCGAUUGAGCUCCAAAAUAAUGCAAAUAUACAUAACAUGUAAGAAAGAAUGUAAACUAUGCUAAAAUAUCUAGGAAACUAACAUAGUAAGUCUAAGAAGGAACUAAAAAUAUAAUAUCCUAUUAUAGCCAUACUCAGGAACCUAAGCACUAUACCAUAUAUCGUUGGCCCAUAUACAAAUAAAGAGAAGAUGAAGGAUAUAUAAUAGUAUACAAGGCUAAGGAAUAGAUAUAAAACAUGAAUAGAGGGAUAUACUAUAAUACCAUAACUACAUAUAUAAAUAUAUGUAUAUAAACAGAGGUAACCCAAAGGUACAACCUAAAGUAGUCAUACUAGCAUCUCAAGGCCUCUUAAUCAUAGUAGGAACUAGUACCAACAAAAUUAGGAUCUCUAAUCUAUACAUCUAAACAAGAGAUAAUUAUUCACAAUAAGGCAACCAUAAAGAAAGGAAUCAAAAUCAUACCUUGAAUCUCAGUACCAAUCCAAUAAUUAACCUGUUACAAGAUAAACAUAAUAAUAACAUAAUAAAGUAAUCGGCUAACCCAGAAGAACAAUACCUAAAUCGAGCCUCAUAACUCGAAAGGACUAAUCAACACACAACAACACACCAUAAGCAAUACUCAUCACCUAAACAUAUGUGAACCCCCAUAAGGCUGAUAGAAAUGGGUGCAUAUUGGUGAUAGCUAAUGCGCAUCCAAGGAUGAAUGCAAAGUAAAUCCAUAAUACCAUAACCAAUCCAAGAACCAUAAUAUAACCCAAUGUAUACAAAUCAUUCAACUUGACAACUCACAAAGGAAGGACCUACGAUGAUCUCUCUUUUUUUACGCGACGGCUCAAGGACGAAGGGACCCUAGGGGUCAAAAUCUUCCUCGACUGAGGUAAAUAGUAGUAUCAUGGAUCAGACUCUAUUUCUGCCAAAUCUCUAAAAAUAAUUUUUAGUCUCAUAAGUUAUUUAUUAAGAUGGUACGAUUCCUAUUAUGAAAAGAUCUAUGUUAAAAGUGAAAAGUGGGAAUGAAUCCCUUUUUAGGAAAAAACAAUAGUAAAACCAUAUUUUUAGUUAGAAUCAUACCAUUUAAUGUUUUAGUGAACAUGAAUGUAUGAAAUCUAUGUAUGCUAUCACCAAUAUCCAAAUAAUACAAAUUAUAAGUAUCUAAAUGUCAACAGACUAUAACCACAUCCUUUACAAGGAUAAACCACUUCUCGAAAUCCAACCAACAUCAUAAUCAUGGUCUUGAGCCCAAUAAUUUGUAUACCCAACAUAAUUAUAUCAUAAUUUGGAAAACCAUCACAAUCCACCAAGUACGUAGUAACAUUAUACUCAAGGUCCAUUAGUCCUAACUAUUCCUACAUGCUAGCGACCUAGGGUAAUAAGAUCUUGGAAGCAUAAUAAGUAUUUCACCUUAAGGGUCAAUUACCCUUCUAGCCUCCAAACUCAAAAAUUAGGCUAAAUCAUGGUGUUCUGCCAAAUAUCAUAUCCUAACAUCACUAUCUAACAUGCAACAUAUAUAAUACACUAUCUCAUGAAGAAGAAUAGACGAAAGCCUAUUUAGAUGCUAAAACGCAAUCCUUGAAUCGUUCCCAAAUUAUCUGCCUUCGUUCCGCUGUCCUGAAAUGCCACCAUGCAAUCAAAAUAGUAAUAUACACAUCAUAAGGAGUAAAAUUAGACCCAUAUUACUAUAUAAAAGAUUGGGUUGAAAUUCAGGUCAAGAAUGAGCCUGCAAAAUCCACAAACGAAAUUCAAAAUUGAAUCCGUCAUGAGGUCCUUUGAAGGAUAAGGAAUGUAUGCUCAAAAUUUGAGCACAAACAGAGCGUAAAUUGGAUCUAAAAUCUACCCUUAAAGUUCAGGAAUUAAAGACCUAAUUUCUAAGGAUUUUAUCAUGAAUUAGGAUGGAAAUUGAAGGAAAAAAUUAAUUUAAUAUAAAAUGACCAAAAAGAGUUAGGCUAGAAUACCUUAACUUAUAUGAAUGAUUUCCCACUUUUUACUGUCUUUGCGCUGAAAUAAUGGAAGAAAAUGAAGAAAAUCAGUUGGGGAAAAAGGGAUAAAUUACUACCAAGUUGCGCUUAAACGGUCACCCUAUCUCUUAAAUGACAACCACUUAAGAAACCCAACUAUCGCUUAAGCGAUAUAGAAUUUGGGGCUGGGUAUCACUUAAGUGACUCCCAAGCCACUUAAGCGAUGCCUGCUUAACAGAAUAGGACAUUUCUUAAGUAGGCCUUCACCAAAUGGUCAAGGACGCUUAAGUGACCCUAUGUCACAUACAUAGAGACUGCUUAAGCGGUCAUAUGAUAUCUUAAACAGUCGUAUCAGCAACCUGAUGUACCAGAUUUCUCCUAGUCCAAAACAAAUUUCUAUCGGAUUUGGGAUUCGUUCGAAACCACAUAUGUGAAAAUAAAUAUGCUACCAUACCAAAUUCUACGUUUAGGACUUAAUGGAACCAUCAAAACUUUUACCCGAGAUCAUUUCAACUAAGUGUGGAAUCAACACCUAUAGAUUCAUUUUACAUAUAAUCCAUCCGAUAGCCCAAAAUGAGUUUGGAAGCCUCGGGACCUGAACAAAGAGUCCCCUAGCUACAAUCAAUCUUCCAAAGCUGAUGGCAUUAUUAGAAUUCUCAUACGAGGUCAUACACUAGGGGUUUUGGUAUGAGACCAAAUUCUAAACAGCCAAAGCUCCAAAAUAGGAAAGUGAGCCUAAAAUCUAAACGACUGUCCAAUAACUGAGCCGAUAGUUUUGGCAAGUCAUAAAUAAUUUGUAGCCACUGUGGGAAGGCUCAAAAUGCUAAAAAUACACACAACUUGAGAAAAUUAUUGGAGGUUCAUUGCACUCUAGAAGUCUCGCCUUGGAAUUUGUGUCAUGUUUUUAUUUAAUAUCAAUUUGUGUGAUUGAUUUACUUGUUAAGGCUUAGUCAUGAUAAAUGCCAUUAUGGACUUAGUUUUUGGGGAAUGACAGAAUUCUAGCAUAUUACAUAAUAAAUAAGUUUGCUACUAUAAACCAUGAAAAGGUUUUAUAUGAUUCAAUUAAAAUAUUUUUUGCCUUUUCAUUUUAGUUUAUCGUCGUCUAUUGUAAUAUUUGAAUUUGACUGAAGUCGUUGUUUGCAUGUAAUUUUAUAUUUUCUAUUAGGUCUUAAAUAUGUGAUUUUAACAUCCUUUCAUAGGUCUUCAAUUCAUGUUCUUGUUAGAAUUUUUCUUGAAUUUCUUUUUACUUGAAUUCUAUUAGAAUUGUAUUUUAAUUCACGAAGGUUUUCUUAAAGGAAAAGAUUUCCUUGUAGGAAACAACCUGUACCAUAAUUUUUCAAUUCAUUAUUGGUAGAGAAGUUUUGGACUUCUAUCAAUAGAAGAUCCUUCUUUUCAAACCACAACACAAUAGCAUCUACAAUAUAGUCUUUAAAGAGUUUCUAGGGGGAUCUUUUCUCCUAAUAAAUUUUAUUCCUUUUUGUUUAGAUUUUAAUAUGUAGGACAAUUGUCCAAAUAAAAUAAAAAAUGUUAUGUUUUUAUUUUUUAUUUUAUGUGUCAUCUGAGUUAUUGCUUAUAUGGUUUGCAAACUACAAGCUUCUGUAUGACGCUCUAUCAAUUUCAAACACAACAAAUGGUAUCAGAGCUAUGGUUCAAAGGUACCAUGAUUUUAUGAAACGAGGUUGAAAAUUUCAAAUCUAUUUGCAACUAAUUUGAUGAUAAUGAAGAUCUUUGUCUAGCUAUAUCUGGAGAAGGAGUUUAAAACAUAUCUUUAAUAUUCCUUCUGCUGCAUCUUUAAAAAUAAAAAUAACAUAUUUUUAAACUCUUUUUAAAUCAUAACAUUUUAAACUUUAUUUUUAGCCAUGACAAGUAUCAGCGAUGAAAAUUAUAUGAGGAAAAAAAUAAUGAUCAAUUUUGUCAGAAAGUUCAGGUCAAGGGGAAAUUUUUUAGGAUUUGUCUUGAACUUUUUUUACUUGGAUUCUACCAUAAUUGUAUUUUAAUUUGAAAAGGUUUUCUUAGUGGAAAAGUUUUCCUUCUAGGAAGUAAUCUCUUUUAUAAUUGGUUAAUUCUUUCUUAGUGGAGAAGUUUUGGACUUCUAUAAAUAGAAAAUUCUUCUUCUCAAACCACAACACAAUAGCAUCCACAAUAUAGUCUUUAAAAAGUUUUUUAGGGGGAUCUUUUCUCCUAAUAGAUUUUAUAUUAUUUGAUUUAGCUUUUAAAAUGUAGGCAAUAGGUUGAACCAUAUCAAUACUAUUAUGUUUUAGUUUAGUUUUAUAUGUCUAGGUGGAUCUUGAUGUGUCGUGGAAACAUGGCACAUUUGAUGCUUAAAUGGUAAAAUUGUGCAUUAACUUAGGUUGUUUUGUCGAAUAUAAUGUAUGUAUUAUAUGUUUUGAAGGGAAAUUAGGUAGGAAGUGGCUUGGACUUAAAAAUAGAAGAAAAUGAUCUCAAAAAGUAAAGUAUUGGGCAGGCUAUGAGUCGUCAAGAUACCUUACGACUCAUAGCCCAAGUUGUAAGGAAAACAGUGGUUAAAGCUAAGCUGAGGAACUAAGUAAUGGAAGGCUAUGAGUCGUAAGGACAGACUACGACUAGUAGUGAGAAGUCGUAUUGUGACCAAUGUCUAAAGCAUUGAAGAUAGAUGCUCCAGUGGUUGCGAGUGAAGACCAGGAAUCGUAAUGUUUGAGUACGACUCAUGGUGAGGAAUCAUAAAGACAACAGACUCAUGUGAACCAAAGAGGAAAAGAUACCGAAGUGACUACUAUUCGUAGCAUAUGACUCAUAAUAUGACCAUACGAGUUGUAACCACUAAAGAAAGAAGGAAGCUACAAUAAUAGGCAGUAAGUCGCAAAGAGACCUAAUGACUAGUUGCCAGAGGCGUAACACUGUCGACUUAAUUUUCCCUUUUAUUUUAAUUAGAAUUCCUUUAUUAUUUUGAGAUACUAUAAAUAUCCUAUGGUUAUUUCUUUAUUAGGUUAUGCACUUUUUAUAAUUUUCUACAUACUUUGAUUAUUGAUACAAUUGUUCUUGAGUUUUUGGUUUCGUAUUCAAUUGGAGAUUUUGGAUUUUAGUCUUUCAUUAUUUUGCAAUUAAUUGCAUGUCUUAUUCAUUGAUUUUUAUGGAUUAUUGCAUAAGCCUAGUGGCUAAUUUCAUGGAUUAAUCAUACCCCGAGCUACUGUAGAAUCUUGGGAAUUGUGUGUAUUCGGAAACGUCCUCGCAAAGGAGUUUGAGAUUGGGAAAUAAGGUUACAACGGUAAUUCAAGGAUAUCAACCCUCUCCUAAUCAACUCGAGACUCAAAAGGUGAGAGUUGCACUGAGGUUAUUGACAAGGGAUAGCAAGGAGACGCCCUGAGACUCACAAGGUGAAGGGUGAGAUUUAUCAAAAUGUUCACAAAAUAAUUGAUAAUACAUAGCUUGUCAACUUUCUAUGCAGAGCAGUGGGUUAGGUGGAUCAAACACAAGAAACUUACAGAGUUGAGAAUCUAGGGGGAACACAGUCCUAGUGUUCAUUUUCUAUUAUUUACAAAUGCAAGCAUUCAAGUUUAGCUACUUGUUAUUAUUGACUUUAAAAUCCCCCUAUUUAAUUUUUCGCACUGCUCGUGGAUUUUGUCAAGUUUGAGAGACCGUUCCACGUAUUCCCUGUCGGUUUAAUGCUAACCUUAUUUGGGUUACUAUAUUUGACACAGGCAACAACAUACUUCUUUGGAGGUUAGUUUUUAGGCGACAUCAAAUUUUGGCGUUGUUGUCGAGGAAUACAAUAUGAAUUACUGACUAAAGUUGGUGAAGUUCAUGAUUUUUAUUUUCUAUUCUUAAUGUGGUAUAUGCCGGUGUAAGACAAUCAUAUAUAGUCAAGGAAAUCCCUUACUCUUUAUUUAUCUAGAGCCUAAAAGAAUUCUGCAAACUUUGAGAAGGAUAACGAAGCAUGCUCAUGAUGCUGUUCUAGAAAAGGUUCAAUAUGACCCUCUUGUUAUACCUUCCCCUACUCUAGAUCAUCCAUAGAAUAUAGCUAAUAGACAGACAAAGAUAAUGUUAGCAGAGGCAACUACAUAGUAGAGAAUAGCGGUUGAGGAGUCCUGGUUGGCUCAGUAGGAAGAGCUAGCCAGGCCAAGACUAGUAGGUGAUCGUCUAGCAACACUCAAGGUAAUCGUGAUAGAGCGUAUGGUGACAAAGCUUGAGUGAUCCCAGCCUAUUAGUAUUUAACGCCAUAUGAUGAAAAUGAGUACAUGGGUUAUGUUGAGACUACUGAGACAGGAGUCAUUGCUUCUCCUGCUUUACCCCCUAAUGUGAAGUUUGAUAUUACUACUGCAAUGAUCCAGCUGUUGAAUUUAAAGGGUGUAUUUUUGGAUUAUCAACAGAUGAUACGAACAUGCAUCUUGCCAAUUUUACUAGGAUCUCUACUUUAUAUACCAUUCCUAGGGUAGAUCAGGAAGCAUUGAGAUUGAGGUUGUUUCUAUUUUCGUUGACAGGAGAAGCAUCAUUGUGGUUGGGGGAACUUCCUAGAGGGUCAAUCAUGACUUGGAACAAGCUGCGUAAAUAGUUUUUGAAUCAAUUUUUCCCCCUUCUAGGAUACUACAGCUAAAAGAUAAAAUAUAUAACUUUCGAUAAUUGCCUGCAAAGUCCAUGUAUGAAGCAUGGUUAUGAUUCAAAAAAAAGUUAACCAUGGUACCUAACCACUGAAUUCCAGGCUCUAAUUUUCUAGAGAUAUUCUACAAAUCCCUAAAUAUAGGUUCUAGAGCUAUGGAAAACACUAUAUCUGGAGGUGCAUUUAUACGUCUACAUUGAGAUUGAUGCAGGAAAUGCUAGAUAAAAUCUUUGUCACUAACCGAGGAUGGCACACUCGAGAGGCUGAUAAAGGUACUGGUACGUAUGGUAUUGGAGCUACGAGUGACUAUUGAGCUGGUGAUGAUUUGGUAGCAUAAGAAUUUGUACAACUCUGAACAGAUAUUGGGUUUCUUACAAAAUAAUUUGCAACAAUGACUAUUGAAAAGGUGAACACAGUGGAGGCAUAGGGAUCUACUUCCAGGGCUUAUAAGUUUGACACGGAUGAUGAAGCUAAGUACUUAGAUUAAGAAGUGGCGUGUUUCUGAUUAAAGGGAAAGAAAACCAAGGUCGAAACUAUUAUAGUGAUAGGUAUUAAGAUAGAAGUAAAGAGCGAGAUGGUGAUUAGAGGUGCAAUAAUGAUUAUAAAGAGAAGAGUAAAUUAUAUGCUCCACCGGGCAGCCGAGAUACAGAGUCAAGAAUGGAAGCAAUUUUGUCGGAGUUAUUAAAAAGCCAAGUAAGUUAGAAAAGUUGCCUUAAGGAGAUUAAGAUGGACAUAUCAGGGCUGAAUUAAAAAAUGAGUCGCAUGCCACUAGGAUCAAAUAACUGGAGCAACAGUUUGGCCAAAUGUCGACCACAUUGAAUCAAAGGCAGCCUGGCACUCUUCCCAAUAAUAUAGUGCAAAAUUCAAAGAAUGAUAGUCAUUUCCAUGCUAUUACCACUCGGAGUGGUAAGACCACCAUGGAUCCUCCUAUACUCACUGCGGUUGAAUUAAAGAAAGAUGAUUUUAAUAUUGAUAUUGAGGAAGCACCUGAAGUAGAAGCUGGAAAAUCAUCAGGUGUUGAGUGUAGUGCUACAAAGGAUAAGGGCAAGGGUAAGUUUGAUUAACCUAUUCUAAAGACUAUUCCAAGACCUCCCUUUCCUUUUCUUCAGAGGCUGAAGAAGAAACAGUAAGAAGGUAAAUAUAAGAAGUUUUUGUCAAUGUUGAAGAAGUUGUCUAUAAACAUACCACUUGUAGAGGCAUCGAAGCAAAUUCCUGGUUAUGUGAAAUUCAUAAAAUAUCUUGUCACUAGGAAGUGGAAAGUGAGCUAUGGCCCAUUGACAAUAUGCAUCAUUACAGUGUUGUUGCCUCUAGAUCAUUAGUAGAGAAGAAAAAGGACCCCGGAGCCUUCACCAUUCCAUGUAUUAUUGGGUCCUUCAACUUUGCUUUGGCUUUAUGUGAUCUAGGAGUCAGUAUUAGUCUUAUGCCUCUAGUUGUGUUUAAGUAGUUGGGGUUGGGGGCACCCAAACCAACAUCGAUGAGAUUGUUGAUGGCUGAUAGUACCAUGAAAAAGUCAUUUAGUAUUCUUUGUGAUGUGUUGGUAAAGGUGGAAUCCUUUAUAUUUCCAAUCGAUUUUUUGAUACUUGAUUGUGAGGUGGACUUCUAAGUCCCUAUUAUCUUAGGCAGACCCUUCCUAGCCACAGGUAGGGCAUUGGUUGAUAUGGAGUUGGGACAGAUAAGGUUCAGACUCAAUGAUGAAUAGGUAAUCUUUAAUGUAUACCAGUUGAUGCUGCAGUCAGACAAUAUGAGAGUUGUGUCAGUGAUAGACACCAUUGAUAACGAGGUUGAUGCAGUAACUAUUCCGAUAGAGGAGCGGCUGGGUGUUGAAGUAUUAACAACUGUGAUUAUAAAUUUUGAUAGUGAUGGAAUUGAGGAAUAUGACUAGAUGGUAGGCGUUUUGUAUGGAAGAGGUUCUUACACAUAUUUCCCAAAGAAGCUUGAUCUAGAUUUGAAAAAUAGAACCACUCUUCCCACUCGUCCGUCAAUCAAGGAGCCAUUGAUCUUGGAGUUGAAAGCCCUCCUAUCUCAUUUAUGCUAUGCAUUUUUAGGGGUCAACAAUACCUUGCUAGUGAUUAUUGUAGCUGACUUAGUUAAUACAGAGGUAGAUUUAUUUUCAUCAGUGUUGUAGAGGUUCAAAAGAGCUAUAGAGUGGACUAUUGCAGAUACUGUGGGCAUCCCGCCAAGCAUUUGUAGUUAUAAAAUCCAGCUUAAGCCGGACUACAUACCGAGUAUUGAGCAGCAGCACUAGAUAAAUCCUCUUAUGCAGUAGGUAGUAAAGAAAGAAACUAUCAAGUAGUUGGAUAUAGGUGUAGUUUACCCCAUUGUGAAUAACAAGUGGGGCAGUCCUAUUCAAUGCAUCCAAAAGAAAGACGGAAUUACUGUUGUGCCAAAUGAGAAGAAUGAGCUCAUGCCAAUGAGACUAGUCAUAGGUUGGAAAGUGUGGAUGGACUAUAAGAAGCUAAAUAUAUAGACCCAAAAGGACCACUUCCCAAUAACCUUCAUGGACCAGAUGCUGGAUAGACUUGCGGGAAGGGGUUGGUAUUGCCUUCUUGAUGGUUAUUUCGGUUACAAUUAGAUCACUAUUUCUCUCAAAGAUCUAGAGAAGAUGACUUUUGCCUGUCCUUAUGGGACUUCUGUAUUUAAAAGUAUUUUGUUUGGGUUAUGCAAUGCUCCCGCUACCUUCUAGAGGUGCAUGAUAUCAAUAUUCUCUGAUAUAGUAGAAGUCAGCAUUGAGGUGUUUAUGGAUGAUUUUUUUUGUGGUUGGUGAUUUCCUUGAUAACUAUUUAGUCCACUUGAUCAAUGCUCUGCAUCCAGAUGAGGAAUGCAAUUUGGUGCUAAAUUAGAAGAAGUGUCAUUUUAUAGUGAAAGAAGGAAUUAUGUUUGGGAACAAGAUCUCAAAAUGGGGAAUAGAGGUGGGUAAGGCAAAAAUUAAGGUAAUUGAGAAGCUGCCACCACCAAUCUCGAUAAAGGGAAUUCGAAGUUUUUUAGGCCAUGUUGGCUUUUAUAGGUGAUUCAUCAAGGACUUCUCAAAGAUUGCAAGUCCUCUUUGCAAGUUUUUUGAGAAAGAGGUGAAGUUUGAUUUUGAUAAAGCAUAGCUAAAGGCUUUUGAGUGCUUGAAGAAGCAGUUGGUAUCAGCCUCUACUAUCGUGUCCCUAAGUGGUCUCUACCAUUUGAGAUAAUAUGUGAUACAAGUGAUGUGGCCUUAGGUGUUGUGCUAGGCUAAAGGUGAGGAAAAGUACUUCACCCUGUGUACUUGCUAGCAAGGCAAUAAACCCUGGUCAAAAUAGACUGUUAUCGAGCAAGAGUUACUAGCAGUGAUUUUUACCUUUGAAAAGUUUUAGUCCUAUCUAAUUGGAACUAAGGUUAUUAUGCAUACAAACCAUGCAUCAUUGAGAUACCUAAUGGAAAAGAAAGAUUCAAAGCCAAGAUUGAUUCAUUGGGUUCUCUUGCUACAAGAGUUUCAUUUUGAAGUAAAGGAUCGGAAAGGCACAGAAAAUCUAGUUGCAGAUCACUUGUCCAAACAUGAGAAAGAAGAAAUGCAAAAAAUAGGGCAUUGGCUUAAAAUCGAUAAUACUUUUCCAGAUGAGCAGAUUUUGGCAGCAUCGCAAGACCUAAUUCCCUGGUUUGCUGAUUUUGCCAAUUACUUGGCAAGUGAUCUUGUCCCAGAAAACUUGUCCUUUUAGAUGCAGAGAGGUUUAUGCAUAAUUUAAGGAAAUUCUUCUGGGAUAAGCCUUAUUUGUUUAGAAUAUAUGCGGAUGGUAUGAUUUGUAGAUACAUACCAGAGGUAGAGAUGAUGAGUAUUCUUGAGUCCUGUCAUGCUUCACCUGUUGGGGAUCACCAUGGAGGAACCCGCACAACCCAAAAAAUCUUGCAAUGUGGGUACUAGUUGUCAAUAAUAUACAAAGAUGAUCAUGAUUUUGCUACAGACUGUGACCAAUGCCAGUUUCAAGGCAAUAUUUCGAGGCGACAUGAACUCCCUAUGACCCCUAUUUUAGAGCUAGAGUUGUUUAUUGUGUGGGGUGUGGAUUUCAUUGGGCAAAUUCUGAGCUCCUAUGGCAUGAGGUAUAUCUUGGUUGCAGUUGAUUAUGUGUCCAAAUGGGUGGAAGCGGUAGUUCUCCACAAUAAUAAAGGUAAAAGUGUCACCGCAUUUCUGAAGAAGCAUAUCUUUUCUCGAUUUGGCAAUCCACGUGCAAUAAUUAGUGGCAAUGGGUCGCAAUUCUAUAAUCAUCUGUUCAAGAGUCUGCUUGAGAAAUAUGGAGUAAAGCAUAAGGUGGCAACACCUUAUCACCCUCAGACAAGCGGAUAUAUUAAGGUCUCCAACAGAGAGAUUAAGUCUAUUUUGGCGAAGACUGUGAAUGCCAAUAGGACUGAUUGGUCGAGAUGAUUGGAUGAUGUGUUAUGCGCAUACUGGACAACUUAUUAAACCCCCCAUAGGUGCCUCUUCAUAUCAUCUUGUGUUUGGAAAGGCAUGCCACUUGCCUAUUGAACAUGAGCAAAAGACACUAUGGGCGUUGAAAAGAUAAAUUUUGAGUGGCAUGAUAUGGCAAAGAUGAGUAUGAGCAACGUGAAUGAAUUGGAUGAAUUUUGACUCCGCGCUUAUGAGAGUUCUGCACUAUACGGGGAGAAGAUAAAGUUGCAUCAUGAUCGAAAAAUUGAGAAAAGAGUAUUUGAGCCAGGUAACCAGGUCACCAUCAGUUACUUAUGGCUCCAAAAGGUGAUUCAUCAGAGAAUCUGACAACAAAGAAGAACACCCAAAAGAGGCCUACCCCAAAGUCCACUCUUCACCUUAGAAACGAGGACACAGAUGAGUCAAGCAGUUACCUCAAAGAAUAUCCAGUAAAGGGGCAUGUGGAGCUAAGGAAAGCAACCCAGGGGUAAGAAAGCAACUACUGUGGAGGAGGACGCACCCCUUAGGUCCAAACCCAUGGAUGAAGAACCCUAGUACCUCACCACCUCAUUCACCAUCAUCUUUCGAUGAUGAUAAUGAUUAAGAAAAUGGUAAGGAAUGCAAGAGAGGAAGAAUCAGGGUCUUAAGGAAGAUGAAAAUGGGGGUGACAAUAAGGAUGAGAAUGAGAAUGCCGACGGGUCUGUUAUACCCUAUUUUAACGUGGGUCAAACCGAGGUACAAUAUAUUGGAAACUUCUAAAUAAAAUUUAAGGAAGUCGUCACCUAAUUAAUUAUACGGUGAAUUAGGACACCUAUUAUAAAAUAAGUUAUUAAACAAAUAAAGACUUCAUUUUAGGUCUACGCAACUUAAAGAUUUAGGUAAGGAUUCUAAUUGUCCUAAAGGGAAAGGAUUAGGCACCCUAAAUGAUCCGUUAACUAUGGUUAACCAGUCAAACUUUGAUUAGAUAAAGAAAUCAAAUAUUGAAUUAAGAAAAAGAUGAGGCAUAUAAAACAUGCUAACUAUUUAAAGAAAAGAUUGGGAAAAAAAACUUUAGAAAGAUUUACCCGCUCUUCAAAAAUUAUCAAAAAAAACUCUUGAAAUAAUGCAACCUUAUUAUUGUCGAAAGAUAGUUACUUCAAAUCAUUUCUCUUAAAAGAUAUACAGGGUUUUCAAUUAAAAUUAUAAAGGGUUAGUUAAGAAACUUCACAUUUUUUAUUCUAAAAAAAUGACUAUUUUGCUUCUAAAAAUAAAUUAAAUUUUAUAAAAAUCGAUUUAUAAUUCUACACUAAGUGAACAUCUAAAAUAUAGUUAUUUAAAUCUCAAUAAGUUGAGAAUUUAUUUAUAUUUUUUACUUAAAAGACACAAGUAAUAAAAAUAUUUUUUAUUAUUUGAAAUCCUAAAAAAAAAGUCUUGUGGAAUCAAAUUGGCAAAAUUAUAAUUUUUAUUAAGAUUGAUGACAACGAAAUUGAUUUACCAUAUCUAAAAUAAUUAUGGCCAAUUACCGAGUCUAGCGAUGAUAAAUUCGCCCACCACAAAAAACUUAUAUUUUAUUAAUUCGACACUAAUAACUAAUGAGAAACUAAUAUAAUCCUGAAUAUAAGGCAAUUUAUUCUAAAAGGUAUGUUUUGACAUAUCAAAUUUUAAACUUUUAAUGAUAUAAAUUAAAUAUCGAAGCCUAGUGAUUAUGCUAAAAUCAAUAUCCAAAGGGAGCAAGGAUGAAACAGUUAAAUUUACGAUCAUAUUCAACGAUUUAUACUAGUUCAAAUAAAAGCAGACAAAACAAAAAAUUUGAAUAACAAUGUGCAAGAAUGUUUAUAUAUAAAUAAUAAUUAGUGUCUACAGUGAGCUUCAAAAGAAGGAAAGAGGCACUAGACUGCUAGACAAAAAUAUGUGAUGCAAUAGUUGUUCGCUUCUCUAAUUUGGACAGAGAUGGAGUCAAGCCAUGAGACUCCAAAAGCACUCCCGAGUGCUCAUGUGAAAUAAAAUAAAAGAAAAGGAUUAGAAGACAAUUCAAGUUUCAAUAAAUAAAUGAAACAUGAGAUAAAGAAAAUAUAACAUAAGACAUCAAUUGUAGCUCUAUGUAUAAUCAUUUUUUUCAGAAUGAGAGCAAAUUGCUAAGCCAAGAAGAAUUCACACACUCGCAAACGCAUACUCCUGCUCUAAUAUUUUGGACUACCAUAAGAGAAUGGUAUAAGUAUGUGCAUCAAACAAAAUAACUCAAGUUGUAAAAUCAAUAAUAUUGAACUAUAUCCUUGAAAAGAUAAAUAUAUGCAAGCACAUUCCACAGCUAUCACUAAAAUUUCGUACCUAGCAUUGCGACUGACUAGAAAUAGUCACCUAUUACUAUUAAAAAAUAUACUAAAUAUUCCAAGAUUUAGGAUUUAAAACAAAUCACACUUUUCCCUCAAACGGAUGUUACUUCAAAUACAUAUCACGUUAUAAUUACGAUGCGUCCUUUUUAACCUUGAAACUGAACAUAUUAAAGUUUAGAAAAUGCUAUGGGAAUUUGGAAACAAGAUUCUACGUAACAAGCUUCUCAUGGAUCUAAAUUCACCCUUUCAAAAAAAAUGUCAAUCCCUUGUAAUACCCCGAACUUUUCUUAAGUCUAAAUUAUAGCUCUAUAAGAUUAAGGAAUAACUUUCAAAGUAAUCCGUAUUUAAAUCAUAUAGAGUUUUCCUAAUUUUGACUUUUUAUCAUGUGAAAAAUUGAAUUAUCUUUCCAACGAUACCAAUUUCAUCCAAAUCCAGUAUCGGGGUGAGAAGUUAUGACCGGUUUACUGAGAGCUGAUAGAACUGCCCAGGUGCGACGGGCAGGUUGACGGACCGUCGAGCUUGCGAUGGACCGUCGCUCAAGCCGUCAUAACCGAGGCAGUUAACCCAUUCACUGGCCAAGUGCGACGGUUGGGCCGACGGACCGCCGAGCUAGCAACGGACCGUUGCUCAAGCCGUCGAUACUAAGGCCGUGAGCCCCUAUUCUGGUCCAAGUGCGACGGUCAGACCAAUGGACCGUCGAGCCAGCGAUGGAAUAUCGCACAAGCCAUCACAAUUCCGCUCAACAUUUUGAAGCCAUUUUUUUAAAAGGGCUUUUUGGUCUUUUUCCACUUUUUUUAACACCUAGAUAUAUCAAAACGAAGUAUAGAACUUCAAAUUCAUCCAAAGCAUCAAGAACUAGGGUUUUCUCUCAAGAUUAACCCUCAAGAGCAAGACCCAAUUCCUUUUCCAAGAUUUCACCAUAGGUUUUGCAAAUUGAUUUAAGAAUCAAGGUUCCCAAGUCAAAACGGUUCAAGAACCCUCACUCAAGAGUAUGAAAAAAAAGUCUCAAGAAAGCUUGUUCAUCUAAAUUCAUAAUCUAAGGUAUGUGGGGUUUGAACAAGGAUAAUCCUUUCGUCCUUGUGCCCAAAACUUGUCUUUAAUUACAAAGAUAUAUGAUUUUACAAAGAUAUACCCUAUGUUGUUAUCCUUGAGAUAAUGAUGUUUUCAAUGAUUUAGAAAUUGAAGUACAUGAGCAUGUUGAGAUUAUAAUGCAUAUUGCUGAAAAUUUCCAGAUUUUUAUAUGAUUUAUGAAUCUUUAUAGUAUCUAGUAUGCAUUUUGAUACAUCUUAACCUGAGAUUGAUAUAUGGGUCCUUAAGCCCUACUUGAGAUUGCAAUUUUAAGAACUUUAGUGCUAUAAGCACCCAUGGUUUGAUUAUUUUGAGAUUAUUGAGAAAGUUUGACCUUGAUGGUCAUAAUAGCUUUGAAAUCCACCUCACUGAAUGAGAUUAUAGAUUUUGUAGUUGGUUUUCUUAUAAACCAUGAGAUUAUUUUUAAAACUAGAUUUCCUAUGAGAUGAGCGUAGCUAAUUAAAGAGAGUAGUAUUUAGCACCAAGUUGGGUAAGUUACUACGGUUCAUACCCCAAAACUAUGUGCCACCGUAGUAUUGAGAUUUAUGGACCCGAGGCCAAGAUAGUGAUCACUGAGUUGAGGUUAUACUUCCUGGCAAGAGUAUGACGUCUCUCUCCAAUGUAAGGUUUCUGCCUUAGGAGGAUAAAACGUUGGACUCUAUGUAGCUCACAUAGUGUAUGUCAGUUAAGAGAACCUCCCUGCUAGUAAGAGUAAAUAAUCAGUUUCUAAAGUAAAGUAUGUUCCUUGAGAUGAGUUAUUUUCCCUAAAGCUUUGAAAGAUAUCCUGGUUAAUAAAGAUUUUUAGAUACUAAGUGUAAAGGCUCGCAAACUUAUUCAAUUAAUGUUUUACUUUAGAUUUCAGCUUUAAAAAUUAUAGUCGUAGCUCUCAAAUACAGAGGUGAGCACUUUACCACUUAGUCUAUAUAUUUUGAGAAGGGAAUAGAACUACAGAUUUCAGAAAUAGUAUAUUGACUCAUGAGAUUUAUACUAUGCGUUCCAUUAUUCAUAAUUUAUGAGAUAUACAUUAUUUUUUUUUUUGAGAUUAUUCAAGCUAUGUGAGUCAGUUAUAUCAGCAUGCAUGAUUUUUAUAAAGAUUGAUGAUAUUGUUGUUUUAAGUAUUGCAUACACCCCCAUAUACUCAGUACAUCCUCAAAGUACUGAUCCACAUAUACGUCUGUGUGCGACAUUAUCUCAUAAUAUAGGUUCAGGUACUCAGUCUCAACAUUGACACUGAUCUUUGAGUACCUUUAUCUACACGUCAGCACUUGGUAAGUCCUCAUGGUUCGAGGACCUAAUCCCUUAUUUUCAGUAUUUAUAGUUGUUGAUUUUUUCUUUUCAGUCCAGUUGAGUCAGUUGGGGGUUUGUCCCAAUGACUCUCUAGUUCUUAGUAAGUAGAGGCUUGUCAGACUGUCAGGUAAAGUUUUGUUCCAGAUUUCCAGUAUUUGAUAUACAGACAUUUGUUUUCAAUGAUUUCAGUUCUGUUUUGAUAAAAUUUAACAUUUAUUGUUUGGUUAUUCAUCCUAAAGUAAGUGGUAGAAGUAGUAACAGGCUCAAAGGGGUAGCUUGGGGCUACUUGUAGCCUUAAGCACCGUGUGACGUUCUGGAAUAAGAUUUCGGGGCAUUACAUCCCUAUGUUUCAAGGACUAAAACGGUGAAAAAUGUUAACUCAAAUCAUAUUUAGGCUACGUAUAUUAAAGAAACAUACCAGUUAGAAAAAGAGGUGAUUAGAGGCCUGAGAACGUCUGAAUACAAAUGCUAAAGUAGACUUCAAACUGACUUAAACCCGAGCUGAACAUGAGUGACCUUAUCACUUAACGACGAAGAAGUAAAUAGUCCAUUAGAAGGAUAAAAGCGAGAUGAAGCAGGCCAAAUACAUUAUAGAUACUGUUUUUACCAUAUAUAAGCUAUGAAUGAUGAAUGAAAAUAUCAAAAGUGUUUGGUCAUGAUUUUGAGAAAAGCUUAAAAAAAAACUUUUCUAAACUAAAAAAAAUGGAUUUGUAUCCAAUCACUUUUACGGCAAUGAGCAGAAUGCAUAUACAAAAGAUAACAGAGAGGUUUUAACAAAAAAACACACUUGGGAACAAAUGUUAAUAGUAGAAUGCUAGGGGGACAAAGACAAAUUUUAACAUGUACUAAGACACCAUGGUCCAUACAAACUAGACUCUCAUUUUCAAACAUGCAAUUAAUUAUAUUUAAAAAAAAGUUUCAAGAUUGUGUAAUCUCCUUUCGUACUAAAAUAAGAACAUUGCAUGAUGGCUCUUUAAACUAAACUGAGUUCCAUUUACCUAAUCUUCCAACAAUGAAUACAAGGAGUAGUUACAGAUAAUUAUUAGUGAUGCCCUUGCUCAUUCUAAUGCUACUGAAAGUACCAAUAGGUUGGUUCAUAGUUAGAGAAUUAGCAACAUAGCAUCGACGCUAUUGGAACUACCAAAAGAGAUUUAUCAUAGCAAGUUAAGAUUCCUAGUUUUUUCUUUAAAAGAAAUACUUUAGCAAAUAGAGAGCUGCCAAAAAGUUGCAGAACAUAUAUCCAUGACACAAAAAAGGAUCAGCCUAUCAAUACAACAAAGAUGUAGAAAUCGGACAGAAGCGAGAGAGGACCACGAAUAACCAGAAAAUGAUCAGCCUAUCAUUACCUGUUCAAGGUAUAAAGAUCAAAGGAAACAUUCAUAACAUGGAAUAACAAUAGAGAAAAAAUUCUAUAGCGAGGGUGUAUAGUGAACUGAUAUGUGUCAUAACCCUUUGAAAAAUUCUUUCCGUAACAAAAAGAGGUUGUCGGGAUCGUGCAAAUAUACAAACUAAACAUAUAUGUAGCCAAUUAAUUAUUAUCACAUUAAAGCAUCUGAAUCGAGAUCAAAAUAACCUCAAAUAGUCCAACUUGAGCAUAUACCAGAAUACUUAAAGCUUCACCAACAGCAGUGGUGGCGCAGCGGAAAGGGACUGCCCCAACCUACCCAGAGAUCGAGGGUUCGACCCUGGGCAUGGACAAACACUCUGUUGGGAUCUCUCCCCCCAAAUGAGGCCUGAGGGCGAAUCUGGAUAUAUUCAGACUCCUAAAAAUCGGGUACCGGACACCGGGUGGUUUAAACCAAAAAAAAGAAUACUUAAAGCUUCAUGAGGUUCGUUCAAAAUUAAUCCAAAAUUGAGAAAAGUCUAUAAGCCUACUAACAGACAUAUACAAGAAUCAAAACGAUGCAAGAAUACGGAUUUUGAGUUUGCACUCAUAACUAGCAAAACAUAACAGUCAACUUUGUUUGAAACUCCAAACUUUAAACGUUUUAUUCUAGCCAAAAAAAAUACAAACAUAUCAUCUAAUGAGAACAAAAUCAAAUGAAUAGAAAACAACUUCAGUUUUAUAAUUUAUGCGUCAAAAUAUGUCAGCUAUCAUCCCAUCUAACCACCAAUAAAUAGUUAAGAAAACUAAGCAUAACGUAAAUUAGACAGGAAAGGGUUUACUGAAGCUAAGUCUCAAGUCAUGAACUCUUUACGAGCAUAUCAUUCACAAUAUAACCAAAUAACUAUAAAAUGCUUCACAUUUUGUACCAAAAUCACAUCAAAUAAAACGGCUAAUUCUAAACCGAACGAGCAGAACCUAAAAAUGAGUAUAUAAGGAUGGAGUAUUACCGAAUAUUAUGCAGCAAACUAGGGGCUCCAACAUCAAAUUUCGAUUAGAUUGCAACCUCUACAACUCGAACUCGAACUCGUAUUUUAGACAGAGAGCAAGUGAAUAAAGUGGAAAUAGUAAUAUGAACUAAUACUUGGUGCUAAUUUUUUAUAAUUCCUGGUGAUUCUUUCUUCUUGCUUUUUUCUUAGAAACAAAAUAGGAGCCAAGGGCUCCUUUUACAGCCAAAAAUUAAAGGGCGGUUGCAAGAGCUCUCAAUAGAGGCUUCAAGAAUUCAAAUUUUGAAUUCUUUGAAAGCUCAAAUCUCACAGAAACACAAAGAAAUCAAAUUAGAUAAAGAGAAAGCCUGAAUUUUUAGAUUGAUGUAGAUGGGAGAAAAGGGCCUUUUGAAGGCAUUCACUUUCAGACCAAUAGAAUUAAGGGGAGUAACAAUCCUAAAUCCUGCUAUCUUUCAUACUUUUCAACUUUACAAGGUUAGCAGGGCGGUAGAAAUCUCUUUAGGGUCUGAUUUAAGCUAAAAAGUAUUGAAAUGAUAUAAAGUUGAGGGAUAAUUGCAAGACAGAUGGAAAAGUGAAGGAGAAGGCUGAAGACCAUCGGAUUUUCCAUUAUCCGGUGGUCUAGUAGAGUAUGCUGCUGGCAGAAAGCAAAACCAGGAAACCAAUAUUUUUUAUGUUGAUGUCAGGUUAUAUUUCAACAAUGGAAAAAAAGUGAAGGGUUAGGGGGAUUAAAGGUAUGAGGGGCAAUGGGCUAGGUCGGGUAUGAUUUAAAUGGGUAGGGGGUAUUGGGAU
rnacentral:lncRNA from 1 species